AGCGAACGCUGGCGGCAGGCCUAACACAUGCAAGUCGAACGAUCCUUCGGGAUAGUGGCGGACGGGUGAGUAACACGUGGGAACGUGCCCAUUGGUACGGAACAACUCAGGGAAACUUGAGCUAAUACCGUAUGAGCCCUUCGGGGGAAAGAUUUAUCGCCAUUGGAGCGGCCCGCGUCUGAUUAGCUAGUUGGUGAGGUAAAGGCUCACCAAGGCUACGAUCAGUAGCUGGUCUGAGAGGAUGAUCAGCCACAUUGGGACUGAGACCCGGCCCAAACUCCUACGGGAGGCAGCAGUGGGGAAUCUUGCGCAAUGGGCGAAAGCCUGACGCAGCCAUGCCGCGUGAAUGAUGAAGGUCUUAGGAUUGUAAAAUUCUUUCACCGGGGACGAUAAUGACGGUACCCGGAGAAGAAGCCCCGGCUAACUUCGUGCCAGCCGCCGCAGUAACAC
rnacentral:rRNA from 1 species